rnacentral:misc_RNA from 1 species
GGAAGUCGUAUUCUUGGCCUUGGCGAUCUUGGAGUUCAGGGGAUAGGUAUACCAAUUGGAAAACUUGACAUGUAUGUAGCAGCUGCUGGUAUCAACCCACAAAGAGUGCUCCCAGUUAUGCUUGAUGUCGGGACAAACAAUCAGAAGCUUCUAGAAGAUCCUCUUUAUCUUGGACUGCGACAACCUAGGUUGGAAGGGGAAGAAUAUUUGUCAAUAGUUGAUGAAUUUGUGGAAGCUGUUCAUGCUCGUUGGCCAAAGGCUGUUGUGCAGUUUGAGGAUUUUCAAGCAAAGUGGGCUUUUGAGACGCUGGAUCGCUAUCGGAAAAAGUUUUGCAUGUUCAAUGAUGAUAUACAGGGAACAGCUGGUGUUGCUCUUGCUGGGCUAUUAGGAACUGUUAGGGCACAGGGCCGGCCACUGACUGAUUUUGCCAACCAAAAGAUAGUGGUAGUUGGAGCAGGAAGUGCGGGGCUUGGUGUUCUUAAGAUGGCAUUACAAGCCGUUUCAAGAAUGGCUGGACCAUCAGCAGAUCCCCACUUUUUUCUUCUGGAUAAAAAUGGUCUUAUCACAAAGGAUAGGAAAGAUAUUGAUCCAGCAGCAUUACCAUUUGCUAAAGCCCAUCACGAGAUUGAGGGGCUAGGACUACAGGAGGGAGCAGGACUUGCUGAAGUGGUCAAAAAGGUG